GAUGAACGCUGGCGGCGUGCCUAAUACAUGCAAGUCGAGCGAACGGACGAGAAGCUUGCUUCUCUGAUGUUAGCGGCGGACGGGUGAGUAACACGUGGAUAACCUACCUAUAAGACUGGGAUAACUUCGGGAAACCGGAGCUAAUACCGGAUAAUAUUUUGAACCGCAUGGUUCAAAAGUGAAAGACGGUCUUGCUGUCACUUAUAGAUGGAUCCGCGCUGCAUUAGCUAGUUGGUAAGGUAACGGCUUACCAAGGCAACGAUGCAUAGCCGACCUGAGAGGGUGAUCGGCCACACUGGAACUGAGACACGGUCCAGACUCCUACGGGAGGCAGCAGUAGGGAAUCUUCCGCAAUGGGCGAAAGCCUGACGGAGCAACGCCGCGUGAGUGAUGAAGGUCUUCGGAUCGUAAAACUCUGUUAUUAGGGAAGAACAUAUGUGUAAGUAACUGUGCACAUCUUGACGGUACCUAAUCAGAAAGCCACGGCUAACUACGUGCCAGCAGCCGCGGUAAUACGUAGGUGGCAAGCGUUAUCCGGAAUUAUUGGGCGUAAAGCGCGCGUAGGCGGUUUUUUAAGUCUGAUGUGAAAGCCCACGGCUCAACCGUGGAGGGUCAUUGGAAACUGGAAAACUUGAGUGCAGAAGAGGAAAGUGGAAUUCCAUGUGUAGCGGUGAAAUGCGCAGAGAUAUGGAGGAACACCAGUGGCGAAGGCGACUUUCUGGUCUGUAACUGACGCUGAUGUGCGAAAGCGUGGGGAUCAAACAGGAUUAGAUACCCUGGUAGUCCACGCCGUAAACGAUGAGUGCUAAGUGUUAGGGGGUUUCCGCCCCUUAGUGCUGCAGCUAACGCAUUAAGCACUCCGCCUGGGGAGUACGACCGCAAGGUUGAAACUCAAAGGAAUUGACGGGGACCCGCACAAGCGGUGGAGCAUGUGGUUUAAUUCGAAGCAACGCGAAGAACCUUACCAAAUCUUGACAUCCUUUGACAACUCUAGAGAUAGAGCUUUCCCCUUCGGGGGACAAAGUGACAGGUGGUGCAUGGUUGUCGUCAGCUCGUGUCGUGAGAUGUUGGGUUAAGUCCCGCAACGAGCGCAACCCUUAAGCUUAGUUGCCAUCAUUAAGUUGGGCACUCUAAGUUGACUGCCGGUGACAAACCGGAGGAAGGUGGGGAUGACGUCAAAUCAUCAUGCCCCUUAUGAUUUGGGCUACACACGUGCUACAAUGGACAAUACAAAGGGCAGCGAAACGGUGAGGUCAAGCAAAUCCUAUAAAGUUGUUCUCAGUUCGGAUUGUAGUCCUGCACUCGACUACAUGAAGCUGGAAUCCCUAGUAAUCGUAAAAUCGCAUGCUACGGUGAAUACGUUCCCGGGUCU
rnacentral:rRNA from 1 species